rnacentral:misc_RNA from 1 species
UACGGAGAGUGCAAGCAUUAAUCGGAAUUAUUGGGCGUAAAGGGCGCGUAGGCGGAAAAAUAAGUCAGAUGUGAAAUUCCAAAGCUCAACUUUGGAGCUGCAUUUGAAACUGUAUUUCUAGAGGAUUGACGGAGAAAACGGAAUUCCACGUGUAGCGGUGAAAUGCGUAGAUAUGUGGAAGAACAUCGGUGGCGAAAGCGGUUUUCUAGUUAAUACCUGACGCUGAGGCGCGAGAGCAAGGGGAGCAAACAGG